rnacentral:tRNA from 2 species
ACUAUAGUUCAGUGGUAGAACGUCACCUUCCCAAGGUGAAUGUCGCGCGUUCGAGUCGCGUUACCCGCU